rnacentral:rRNA from 1 species
AGUGAACGCUGGCGGUAGGCUUAACACAUGCAAGUCGAACGGCAGCACAGUAAGAGCUUGCUCUUACGGGUGGCGAGUGGCGGACGGGUGAGGAAUACAUCGGAAUCUACUUUUUCGUGGGGGUUAACGUAGGGAAACCUACGCUAAUACCGCAUACGACCUACGGGUGAAAGCAGGGGAUCUUCGGACCUUGCGCGAUUGAAUGAGCCGAUGUCGGAGUUGCUAGUUGGCGGGGUAAAGGCCCACCAAGGCGACGAUCCGUAGCUGGUCUGAGAGGAUGAUCGGCCACACUGGAACUGAGACACGGUCAAGACUCCUGAGGGAGGCAGCAGUGGGGAAUAUGGGACAAUGGGGGCAAGCCUGAUCCAGCCAGACCGCGUGGGUGAAGAAGGCCUUCGGGUUGGAAAGCCCUUUUGUUGGGAAAGAAAAGCAGCAGGUUAAGACCCCGCUGUUCUGACGGUACCCAAAGAAUAAGCACCGGCUAACUUCGUG